AUUAACUAUCCACAUACUUCAGGUGGAAGGGGUUUUCAAUCACAAUUUUCCCCCACCAUAACCUAAUUGGAUUUUGCUUCCCAAGCACUACCAAGCCUCACUAAGCAAACCAGUAACCAACCUCAUGCUGAAGAGUUGCAUUAACAACGAAACAGCUGUCCAUGAGUGGUUCACUGGUUUUGCAUCUUUUCCUAUAUUGUGUUUCAAGCUGUUGUAUACAGCAAACACAGAUUAAAAUGAAUCCAUGUUUAAAAUGGAAUGAGGCAAAAAUGUGAUUCUUUGUUAAACUAAUUUGCAUAUGCCCACCCAGAAUCCUUUGCGGUU